AUACGAAAGGUGCAAGCGUUGUUCGGAUUUACUGGGCGUAAAGAGAGUGUAGGUGGUUUAUUAAGUCGGAUGUGAAAUCCCGGGGCUCAACCUCGGAACUGCAUUCGAUACUGAUAGGCUAGAGUUUGGGAGGGGUAAGCGGAAUUCCGUGUGUAGCAGUGAAAUGCGUAGAUAUAAGGAGGAACACCUGAGGCGAAGGCGGCUUACUGGACCAAUACUGACACUCAGACUCGAAAGCCUGGGUAGCAAACAGGAUUAGAAACCCCAGUAGUCC
rnacentral:rRNA from 1 species